UACAGGGGGGGCAAGCGUUGUUCGGAAUUACUGGGCGUAAAGGGUUCGUAGGUGGCCAACUAAGUCAGACGUGAAAUCCCUCAGCUUAACUGGGGAACUGCGUCUGAUACUGGAUGGCUUGAGUGUGGGAGAGGAAUGCGGAAUUCCAGGUGUAGCGGUGAAAUGCGCAGAUAUCAGGAGGAACACCUAUUGCGAAGGCAGCUCGCUGGGACGUAACUGACGCUGAGACGCGAAAGCGUGGGGAGCAAACAGG
rnacentral:rRNA from 1 species